AUGGAUGAGAGAAGGCAGACGGCGUGGAGCUGUGCUGGGGACAUGGCAGCAUGGAGGUCAUUAAACAGGAUUUCUCAGAAAGACACCCACAUGAUCACCAUGGUGCUCACAGAAGCCUUUGUUGGGAGGAAGUUCACCCAUCCUGGCAAGGGGAGCAGGAGGGAGAGAAGCCCAUGUGAGGUGGAUGCUGUGUGUGCUGCAUGUUCCUUCUCUGAUCAGAUGUUAUCUCCUUUCCUGUUGGAAAAGUGCAAACAAAGCCAUUAA
rnacentral:lncRNA from 1 species